GAUGAACGCUGGCGGCGUGCCUAAUACAUGCAAGUCGAGCGAACGGACGAGAAGCUUGCUUUUCUGAUGUUAGCGGCGGACGGGUGAGUAACACGUGGAUAACCUACCUAUAAGACUGGGAUAACUUCGGGAAACCGGAGCUAAUACCGGAUAAUAUUUUGAACCGCAUGGUUCAAAAGUGAAAGACGGUCUUGCUGUCACUUAUAGAUGGAUCCGCGCUGCAUUAGCUAGUUGGUAAGGUAACGGCUUACCAAGGCAACGAUGCAUAGCCGACCUGAGAGGGGAAUCGGCCACACUGGAACUGGGACACGGUCCAGACUCCUACGGGAGGCAGCAGGAGGGAAUCUGCCGCAAUGGGCGAAAGCCUGACGGAGCAACGCCGCGGGAGUGAUGAAGGUCUUCGGAUCGUAAAACUCUGUUAUUAGGGAAGAACAUAUGUGUAAGUAACUGUGCACAUCUUGACGGUACCUAAGCAGAAAGCCACGGCUAACUACGG
rnacentral:rRNA from 1 species